rnacentral:rRNA from 1 species
UACGGGGGGGGCAAGCGUUGUUCGGAAUUACUGGGCGUAAAGGGCUCGUAGGUGGCCAACUAAGUCAUACGUGAAAGCCCGGGGCUCAACCCCGGGAGGCGGGUGGAUACUGUCAAGCUCGAGUCCGGAAGAGGAGUGUGGAAUUCCUGGUGUAGCGGUGAAAUGCGCAGAUAUCAGGAGGAACACCAAUGGCGAAGGCAGCACUCUGGGACGUGACUGACGCUGAGACGCGAAAGCGUGGGGAGCAAACAGG